rnacentral:lncRNA from 1 species
CACAUUGUUUGGGUUUUUUUUUUUUAAGAUUUAAUUAAUUAAUUAAUUAAUUUGUUUAGAGCUUGAGCAUGGGGAGGGAGAGGGAGAGAGAGAAUCUCAAGCUGACUCAGCACUGCUCAUGGAGCCUCACAACCCUGAGAUCAUGACCUGAGCCAAAAUCAAGAGUCGGACGUUCGACCGACUGAGCCAUCCAGGCACCUCUCAGUUCACACUCUUAAUAACCACUCACCUUUAUUGAGCAUGUGGUUGGUCCCUGCCCUAUACUGUUUUAUACAUAUUCCAUGUAAACUUCCAAAGAACCCUAUGAGGAAGGUGCUGCUGUUGUUUUAGGUGUUGAGUGAGGAAGCUGAGGCUCCCGGAGAGGUUAGGCCACUGGCCCAACAGUCAACAGCUUCUAGACGGAAGAGCCUGGUAUUUACUAGGCUACCCGACGCAGAACUGUGCCCCACCGCUUCCCGUGGCAUCUUGCUAUGAGUGCCCAGCUCAUUGUGAUUUUUCUCUCUUUUCAGGGUUUUGGUUUUUUGCACUGAAUGUAGUCUAGACUCAUCAUCACGGGCUUGUGUUGCCCCAGGAUACUGUCAGAGGCAGUAUUUGUGUGUUUCUGCAGAGUUUUGCACAGAGUCUGUUCCCAUGCAAACCAAUGAGGGAGAAGUGUCGGAAGAAAGCAGUUCCAAGGUCCUGAGUUCUCAAGUUGGGUAGCAGAGACCACAGACAAGGAAGUAGAUCCCAUGAAAGGACAUAUGAAGCAGGAAGCAGCAGCCAGCACUCCUGGGACAGUCUCCAGUCAAUGCUGAUAUAAUCUUCCACUAUAUUUUUUUACCAAGGAUGGAUCAGAAUUUUUAAUUUCAACUCCACAGCUAUUUCUCACUUUACAUUUAGUAUAAUUUAGGUUGAUAUUCUAAACGAGUUGGUGUUGGCUUACUAGUUGUAGAGAUUCUGCAGCUAUAGGCUUGGAAUGUUUAUUUUUUAAGUGAAAUCUGGCAAGCAUAGUAAAAAUUAUCAUAAAACUGAGCAGUUGAGUGUUUGUGAUCUCAUUCUCUGUACUUCUUUGUAUAGUUAAGCAUUUUAUAAUAAAACAAUAAAAACAAAUAAGCUCUAGAGCUUA